rnacentral:rRNA from 1 species
GACGAACGCUGGCGGCGGGCUUAACACAUGCAAGUCGAACGGAAAGGCCCUGCUUUUGUGGGGUGCUCGAGUGGCGAACGGGUGAGUAACACGUGAGUAACCUGCCCUUGACUUUGGGAUAACUUCAGGAAACUGGGGCUAAUACCGGAUAGGAGCUCCUGCUGCAUGGUGGGGGUUGGAAAGUUUCGGCGGUUGGGGAUGGACUCGCGGCUUAUCAGCUUGUUGGUGGGGUGGUGGCUUACCAAGGCUUUGACGGGUAGCCGGCCUGAGAGGGUGACCGGCCACAUUGGGACUGAGAUACGGCCCAGACUACUACGGGAGGCAGCAGUGGGGAAUAUUGCACGAUGGGGGGAAGCCUGAUGCAGCAACGCCGCGUGCGGGAUGACGGCCUUCGGGUUGUAAACCGCUUUCGCCUGUGACGAAGCGUGAGUGACGGUAAUGGGUAAAGAAGCACCGGCUAACUACGUG